GAGCGCAGCUGUGUCUUCAUUUGUCGGCCAUGUUUUGCAUUCUCCAGAUAUCUCCAGGAGGCUCCUGGGCUUUUUCUGUUCUGGUUUGACCUUGUGCCCCUGUAGAAGGCUGAGUGGAAGGGAAGGAGAGUGGGACAUAUUUUCAGAUCAGUGGAAAGCAAAACCAUUGUUGUGAGCCAAAAUAAUCCUUGGAACCAAAUGCAAGUUCUCAUUACCAGAUCGGCUGAGCUGAGAGCCCCAGGCAACUGGUUUUUCCCAGCGAGCUGGGGUUCCUGUGUUGUGGUGGGAGGGUCGGCAGAGGCGACAUGGGCAAAUGUUGCUGUUUAUUUCCAUUCUGUCAUGUGUGUGAAUCUGAUUACAGGUCGCUAAGUCAAUAUUUAGCUUCUGCGGACGGCAUCAUCGUCGGCCAGUUUAUUUUUUCUGGGCCCUGCCACAUCUGCUGCCAAUGUCAUGUGCGGUAGCCGACGUGUGCCGCUACCAGGAAGGAAAGCAAACAAUGAGUCUGCAGUCCUGCUCGAGUGAGUCAGGCAAAAGAGUGGUGAGCACGAAACCAUGAUUUGCAGCUAGAAGUCAGACUGGUUUGGGGAUAGUGGUGCUUAGAGCAGUUUGAGGGAUGCCUUAAUGAAUCUGAUGAGGGGUCAGGGAAGUUCAUGGUAAAACACUAAUUUCUCACAUCAGCCUCAUUCAUAUUUGAAAGAAAAACAAACCACAAGUAGCUAAAGGCAAAAACAUGCUUACAGAAGACUUAUAAGUAUGUCAUGUUCAAGAGCACACUUCCAGUUCCAUGCCUUCAUAUAUAGACUUUGUAGAAACUGUAAGACAGUAAUUGAAUUUCAUGCAUUUUUCUGUUUGAUUCCAUUUGUCUGAGAAUCUUGCAUGGGGGGCUGCCACUUUAUUACAAGCAAAGAGGAACACUAGAUUGAGGCUUCUUUUCAUCUGGCCCUCAGGCAAGAAGGAUUUGAUAUUUAUUAAAAAUGGAGUAUAUUUCUUCCAGUCAUGACUUCAUUACCUCAGGUUAUUCCAGUGAGGCAGACCACACACAGUCGCAAGAUCUGAAACACCUCCUCUGCUUGUUUGCAUGACCUGCUAUUUGAAUUUGAGGGUUCACAGAAUUGUGGACUUUCUGUGCCAAAGAUGUGCAAGUCAGGACUUCAUUAAACUUGGAAUAGUUUCUAUGCUGGCUGUUACUUGAACUGAGUUGGCAAUCUUGAAGUAUUUGUGGACUUGCUCUUAGUUACAACUAUCUCAGCUACAUCAACUGUAUAUUCUGCUUUUGCAUUUAUUGUGAAUGUAAAUUAUCUAGCUGGUUUUACAGCAGAAUUGUAAGUUUUACUACUUGUUUAAGACAUUAAGGACAAAAUGUCUCAGCAUGACCUUGGAGUCCUGCCAUGUGUAAGGGGCCUAUACUGCAUUUUAGGUAGGAGACAUACAUACAUUAUACAUACUGUGCAAAAAAAGAACAACUCCCCCAACUGCCAGUGCCCCUCCACCCCUUGAAAUUCACUUUCGUCUGCAAAACAUCUGGAAUUCAUUGAGAGGAGGAGGUUUGGGGGAAAUGAACUCCGACAAGAGUCUGUAGAUUUGGGUACGGCCCCCUGCUUUAGGUUCCCUCAGAUGGUUAAGAUAUGCCUGCAGACAAAAACCUACUGGUUUGUCUCAUAUGGACGUAUACCUCUCCCACCCUGAAAACUAAAUAAUAGUUUGUUGAGAUUACAUUGACUUUUAGCAUUAAAAAUGCUUUUGAAUGCUAAAAUGCAGCAACUAUAGACAUGUGGACAGAAAGCCUCAAUUUAUUCUGUUGAAACUUUGAUCUAGAAUAAAGUAAAGUUAACACAAAUGUAAUCCAUAAUGAUGCUGCUCCUUGAUUUGUCCUCUCUUUGCAUGUAAUGACCCCAUGGAAAGUGGUUGUUACUAGAAAAUGUGUUUCUGUAAUUCUUGACAGUUUUUCCAUUAAAAAUAAUUGUAAACAUCAAAGAGAUGUGUUGAAUUUUCCUAUUAAAAAGUGAGUCGUUGUGUUAGUCAGAGUGACCAAAAGUCAGAGUGGUUGUGCCCUUCCAGAUGUUGAUUGUCAUUUGUGUUUUGGACAUGCAGAGCACGCUUGGUGUAGC
rnacentral:lncRNA from 15 species